CCCUUCAGAGGGGGACAACAGUUGGAAACGACUGCUAAUACCGCAUACGAUCUGACCUCGGCAUCGAGGAUGGAUGAAAGGUGGCCUCUAUUUAUAAGCUACCACUGAAGGAGGGGAUUGCGUCUGAUUAGCUAGUUGGAGGGGUAACGGCCCACCAAGGCGAUGAUCAGUAGCCGAUCUGAGAGGAUGAACGGCCACAUUGGGACUGAGACACGGCCCAGACUCCUACGGGAGGCAGCAUG
rnacentral:rRNA from 1 species